AGUAACUGCGAGUGAAGCGGGAAAAGCUCAAAUUUAAAAUCUGGCGGUCUCYGGCCGUCCGAGUUGUAAUCUAGAGAAGUGUUAUCCGCGCUGGACCGUGUACAAGUCUCCUGGAAUGGAGCGUCAUAGAGGGUGAGAAUCCCGUCUUUGACACGGACUGCCAGGGCUUUGUGAUGCGCUCUCAAAGAGUCGAGUUGUUUGGGAAUGCAGCUCAAAAUGGGUGGUAAAUUCCAUCUAAAGCUAAAUAUUGGCGAGAGACCGAUAGCGAACAAGUACCGUGAGGGAAAGAUGAAAAGAACUUUGGAAAGAGAGUUAAACAGUACGUGAAAUUGCUGAAAGGGAAACGCUUGAAGUCAGUCGCGUUGGCCGGGGAUCAACCUUGCUUUUGCUGGGCGUACUUUCCGGUUGACGGGUCAGCAUCAAUUUUGACCGUUGGAUAAAGUCCAGGGGAAUGUGGCAUCUUCGGAUGUGUUAUAGCCCUUGGUCGCAUACAACGGUUGGGAUUGAGGAACUCAGCACGCCGCAAGGCCGGGUACUUGUACCACGUUCGUGCUUAGGAUGCUGGCAUAAUGGCUUUAAUCGACCCGUCUUGAAACACGGACCAAGGAGUCUAACAUGCCUGCGAGUGUUUGGGUGGAAAACUCGGACGCGUAAUGAAAGUGAAAGUUGAGAUCCCUGUCGYGGGGAGCAUCGACGCCCGGACCAGACCUUUUGUGACGGAUCCGCGGUAGAGCAUGUAUGUUGGGACCCGAAAGAUGGUGAACUAUGCCUGAAUAGGGUGAAGCCAGAGGAAACUCUGGUGGAGGCUCGUAGCGAUUCUGACGUGCAAAUCGAUCGUCAAAUUUGGGUAUAG
rnacentral:rRNA from 1 species